rnacentral:rRNA from 1 species
GACAGAGGGUGCAAGCGUUGUUCGGAAUCAUUGGGCGUAAAGCGCACGUAGGCGGUUUUGUAAGUCAGAUGUGAAAGCCCAGGGCUCAACCCUGGAAGUGCAUCUGAUACUGCAUGACUUGAGUCUCGGAGAGGGUGGUGGAAUUCCUGGUGUAGAGGUGAAAUUCGUAGAUAUCAGGAGGAACACCGGUGGCGAAGGCGACCACCUGGACGAAGACUGACGCUGAGGUGCGAAAGCGUGGGGAGCAAACAGG